rnacentral:lncRNA from 1 species
CUCCCGCUUGGGAUAAAUUGGUUUCAAGCUGAAAUAAAUAUUCUCACAGAUAUUUACAGUGUGGUGGGGGGCUUUUAUGUUUAAAAUCGUUAUAUACACGUUAGACUGUGAUUUUAAAAACAAAUGUUGAUAUCUUUUUAUAAUAUUUAUAAAAAAACGGUGCGGGAAAUGGACAUGAUUACAUUUCUGGAUGCUGGAAGCGGGAAUAUAAAAAAAAUAAAAAAAUUCUGUUUUGAAAAAAAUAGGUGCGGGC